GCUGGGCGUGGUGGUGCACGCCUGUAAUCCCAGCUACUCAGGAGGCUGAGGCAGGAGAAUCGCUUGAACCCGGGAGGCGGAGGGUGCAGUGAGCCGAAAUCACGCCACUGCACUCCAGCCUGGAUGAUAGAGUGAGACUCUGUCUCAA
ensembl:misc_RNA Metazoa_SRP Metazoan signal recognition particle RNA